rnacentral:rRNA from 1 species
UACAGAGGGUGCGAGCGUUGUUCGGAAUUACUGGGCGUAAAGCGCGCGUAGGCGGACCUGCAAGUCGGGUGUGAAAUCUCGGAGCUUAACUCCGAAACUGCAUUCGAUACUGCCGUGCUUGAGGACUGGAGAGGAGACUGGAAUUUACGGUGUAGCGGUGAAAUGCGUAGAUAUCGUAAGGAAGACCAGUGGCGAAGGCGGGUCUCUGGACAGUUCCUGACGCUGAGGCACGAAGGUCAGGGGAGCAAACGGG